GUGCUCACUUCAGCAGCACAUUUACUAAAAUUGGAAGGAAACAGAGAAGAUUAGUGUGGCCCCUGAGCAAGGAUGACACGCAAAUUUGUGAAGUGUUCCAAAAAAGU
ensembl:snRNA U6 U6 spliceosomal RNA